rnacentral:rRNA from 1 species
GAUGAACGCUAGCGAUAGGCCUAACACAUGCAAGUCGAGGGGCAGCACAUGAGUAGCAAUACGAUGGUGGCGACCGGCGCACGGGUGAGUAACACGUAUGCAACCUACCUCUAACAGGGGGAUAACCCGUUGAAAGACGGACUAAUACCCCAUAAUACAGGGGCUCCGCAUGGAGAUAUUUGUUAAAGAUUUUAUCGGUUAGAGAUGGGCAUGCGUUCCAUUAGCUAGUUGGUGAGGUAACGGCUCACCAAGGCGACGAUGGAUAGGGGAACUGAGAGGUUUAUCCCCACACUGGAACUGAGACACGGUCCAGACUCCUACGGGAGGCAGCAGUGAGGAAUAUUGGUCAAGUGGAGGCAACUCUGAACCAGCCAAGUCGCGUGAAGGAUGAAGGUCUUAAUGGAUUGUAAACUUCUUUUAAAGUAGAAUAAGUGACCUAGUGUAGGUUUUAUGUAUACUAUGAAUAGGAUCGGCUAACUCGUGCCAGC